rnacentral:rRNA from 1 species
CGGGCAAACUAGGGGGACUGCCGGCGAAGAGCCGGAGGAAGGAGGGGGCUACGGCAGGUCAGUAUGCCCCUAAUCCCCCGGGCCGCACGCGGGCUGCAAUGGGCGGGACAGCGGGAUGCGACCCCGAGAGGGGGAGCUAACCCCUUAAACCCGCCCGUAGUUGGGAUCGAGGGCUGCAACUCGCCCUCGUGAACCCGGAAUCCCUAGUAACCGCGGUUCUCCAUACCGCGGUGAAUACGUCCCUGCCCCUUGUACACACCGCCCGUCAACCCACCCGAGUGGGGCUGGGGCGAGGCCGGCUCAUCCCUCGGGGUGGGCCGGUCGAGCCUUGGCCCCGCGAGGGGGGGUAAGUCGUAACAAGGUAGCCGUAGGGGAACCUGCGGCUGGAUCACCUCCCA